rnacentral:lncRNA from 1 species
UGUUGUAGUAUUGUAUGUAUUGUUAGGGUUAGAUUUUUGAAAACUAAAAUGUUUUUUUCAAAAAUUAGUUUUCACUUAUAUGUGUUUAUUUAUGUGUAUAGUAAACACUUUUCAAGUUUGAUUUGAUUUUAUGAAGUCUUUAAUUAGAUAAUUAAGUUUAGGGGUUAUGUUUAGGGUGUAGACGACUUAUAUUUCAGUCGUCUGUUGAAUAAUUUACUCGGACGACGUAUAUUUCAAUCGUCUGUUGAAUAAUUUACUCGGACGACUUACAUUUCAGUCAUCUGGUGAAGAAAUUAAAACAGACGACUUACAUGUAAGUCGUCCAAAUAUUCCCGCCUAAUUUUUUUUAAAAAAAUUAU